rnacentral:tRNA from 1 species
GUAUUGAUGCUUCAGUGGCAGAGUUCUUGCCUUCCAUGCAAGAGACUUGGGUUCAAUUCCUGGCCCAUGCA